CAAUAGCGUAUAUUUAAGUUGUUGCAGUUAAAAAGCUCGUAGUUGGAUUUCGGGUGGGACGCAGCGGUCUCGCAUUGCGUUUGUACUGCUGCAGCCCUCCUUCUUGCCGGGGGCGGCCUCUCGGACUUCACUGUCUGGGGGUCAGAAUCGGCGAUGUUACUUUGAGUAAAUCAGAGUGUUCAAAGCAAGCUUACGCUCUGAAUAUAAUAGCAUGGGAUAACACGACAGGACUCUGGCCUAUCGUGUUGGUCUAUAGGACCAGAGUAAUGAUUAAGAGGGACAGUCGGGGGCAUUCGUAUUCCGUUGUCAGAGGUGAAAUUCUUGGAUUUACGGAAGACGAACAUCUGCGAAAGCAUUUGCCAAGGAUGUUUUCAUUGA
rnacentral:rRNA from 1 species